rnacentral:rRNA from 1 species
UACGUAGGUGGCAAGCGUUGUCCGGAUUUACUGGGCGUAAAGAGCGCGCAGGCGGUCGUUCAAGUCGCGUGUGAAAGCCCCCGGCUCAACUGGGGAGGGUCACGCGAUACUGAUCGACUCGAAGGCAGGAGAGGGUAGUGGAAUUCCCGGUGUAGUGGUGAAAUGCGUAGAUAUCGGGAGGAACAUCUGUGGCGAAGGCGACACCCUGGACCAGCACUGACACUGAGGCACGAAAGCGUGGGGAGCAAACAGGG